rnacentral:rRNA from 1 species
UCCAGAGAUGGAUUGGUGCCUUCGGGAACUGUGAGACAGGUGCUGCAUGGCUGUCGUCAGCUCGUGUUGUGAAAUGUUGGGUUAAGUCCCGCAACGAGCGCAACCCUUAUCCUUUGUUGCCAGCGGUUCGGCCGGGAACUCAAAGGAGACUGCCAGUGAUAAACUGGAGGAAGGUGGGGAUGACGUCAAGUCAUCAUGGCCCUUACGACCAGGGCUACACACGUGCUACAAUGGCAUAUACAAAGAGAAGCGACCUCGCGAGAGCAAGCGGACCUCAUAAAGUAUGUCGUAGUCCGGAUUGGAGUCUGCAACUCGACUCCAUGAAGUCGGAAUCGCUAGUAAUCGUAGAUCAGAAUGCUACGGUGAAUACGUUCCCGGGCCUUGUACACACCGCCCGUCACACCAUGGGAGUGGGUUGCAAAAGAAGUAGGUAGCUUAACCUUCGGGAGGGCGCUUACCACUUUGUGAUUCAUGACUGGGGUGAAGUCGUAACAAGGUAACCGUAGGGGAACCUGCGGUUGGAUCACCUCCUUACCUUAAAGAA